AUGAAUCUUAUAAAUGGUUUGCCUAAACUUAAGAGAGAAAAAGAUAUUGUAUGCUCUCCUUGUAGACAUGGUAAGAUGGUUGCAGGUUCACAUGCACGCAUUACCAGUGUCAUGACUAACGCUCCAGGACAGCUUCUACAUCUUGAUACGGUUGGUCCACCAAGGGUACAAUCUUUUGGGGGUAAGUGGUAUGUUUUGGUGAUUGUUGAUGAUUAUUCAAGAUAUUCUUGGGUUUAUUUUAUGGCAUCUAAGGAUGAGGCUUUUAGUCACUUUAAGAGUCUUGUGCAUAGACUAAGUGUUGAGCACCCAGGAUCUUUGAAAACAAUAAGAAGUGAUAAUGGAACUGAAUUUAAGAAUUCAUAUUUUAAUCACUUUUGUGAUGAAUUUUUCAUUGAGCAUCAAUUUUCUUCACCUUAUGUACCACAACAAAAUGGUGUAGUGGAGCGUAUAGAACUCUAG
rnacentral:rRNA from 1 species